rnacentral:rRNA from 1 species
UGGGGGAUAUUGCGCAAUGGGGGAAACCCUGACGCAGCAACGCCGCGUGAAGGAAGACGGUUUUCGGAUUGUAAACUUCUUUUGUUAAGGACGAAGAAAGCGACGGUACUUAACGAAUAAGCUCCGGCUAACUAUGUGCCAGCAGCCGCGGUAAUACAUAGGGAGCAAGCGUUGUCCGGAUUUACUGGGUGUAAAGGGUGCGUAGGCGGCAAUGCAAGUCAGAUGUGAAAUGUAUGGGCUCAACCCAUGAACUGCAUUUGAAACUGCGUUGCUUGAGUGAAGUAGAGGCAGGCGGAAUUCCCGGUGUAGCGGUGAAAUGCGUAGAGAUCGGGAGGAACACCAGUGGCGAAGGCGGCCUGCUGGGCUUUAACUGACGCUGAGGCACGAAAGCGUGGGUAGC